rnacentral:misc_RNA from 1 species
GUGACCACCACAAACAUCCUUGGAGACAAUCUUGAAUUCAAAGCUGUGUAAGUGGGAAGGAAGCAAUCUUUGUAAAACACCUUUAGCUGCUGAUUCUUGAAUUAAUGGGGAGGACCGUUUAGAAUCCAAACGAUUAACCACAACAUCUAUAACUUCGUUUGUUAAACUUGACAAGGCUACUGGUAACAGUAGUAGAAUUAGUAUAGCAGUAAAUUUAGAAAUGGAAAGAGGCAAAGAAGGUAGAUGAGACAUGGUUGGCUUAUUCUGGGCAGAGGAAAGUAGAUGAUGAACAGAAGUAGCGAUCAAAGGCUCAGUUUUGAAGAGUCGUUUACAUUUCAGGAAAAAAAAAAUGGAAAAAGUGACAUGAUUUGGAUGAACCAACAAAAAAUUGAAGUCAAAGACUUUUCAGACAUGAUUGAGGGUAUAAACAUAGGCAACGACUUGCCUAUCGGAUUCGUGUUGCAUAAACGAUGUCGUUUUAUACCAGAGCCAAAAACAUUUAACGGGUCAAAGAGCAGGAAAAAAG